CCUCAGCGCCGGCCGCACACCCCGGCAGGAGGCGCCGGUGCGGCCCUUGGUCGUGGCGGCCCUGAGGGCUGCAGGCAGCGGGGCCUCUCUGCCCGCCUCAGUGCGGGGGUCGACUAGGGGAGAGCUGAUAAGACCAAAUUCAAAGCUCUAGUCCCUGCUGCAGCUUCCAUAUAUAACCAUAUAUACGAUUAUAUAUAUAUAUAUGUAUAAAGGUGCUUCUUCGUCAUAAUGAGAAAUCAACCAAUUCCAGCGUGCAAAAGGGAUGUUUUAUACACAGGCACGCAGCACGCCCGUGCAGGCUGUGAUGUUUCGGUCAGAUCUGGGCACGUUGUGAAGGCAAAACCCGACCUCCCCAAGCGAAGAGGCUGGCCCAGUGAUCCCUUAAGUCCCAUGGAACAAUGCUGCACAGAGAGAUCAGUGCUUGCCCAUCCAACGUUUGUGUUUGAAAAGAAGGACCGUCCUUCAAAGCGGCCUGCAGAGGAACCAGUUUGCAAAGCUGAAAAUGAUUUCAUCAGUUGUUCCAGAAAACGUGCAAGAUCAUCAUCCUUUACUUUUCAGAAGUCUAACUCACCAUCUAAUACAGAUAAAAAACUUGCUCAGAAAAGAGGGAGAUCAUCUUCCUUUACCAUCCUUCCUACUUUCCCUCCCUCCUAUCCAGUAAAGAAGAACAACAUAUUCAUGACCUCAGCUCUCCUUCAAAGAAACACUGACAUCAAAACUACAAAAGAAGGAUCCUUGUCACAAAGUCAAUUGCGGAAUGUUAUUAGACCUGCCAUUUUACAACCCCCACAAGCCCUGACCUGUCCUGAAAAUCCUGUAGUAUCUCUAAUGACUAAGCAAGAAGCACAUAUUCAGUUACCUGAAGACAGCUCUUAUUCCUUAGCUGAGAAUUCACUAAGUUCCAAAACAGCAGCAAGGUCAUCUAUUACCAUGAAUCCUUCUAGCUCUAAAGCAACACGAACAGAAAACAGAAGUGUAUUAUGCAACAGCAAUUCUAGUUUUGUGUUUGGAGAAAACAUGGAUGAGAGAGUUUUGAGCCCUGAAAAGCAUCCCAAGCCAUGUAAUGAAGCUGAUUCAUGUAAAGGAGAAACAACAUCCCUGUACAUAGAAUCUUUUCUUGUUAGUCCACAAACAAAAACAACUUUGUUAAGGAACGCGACACUAAUUGAAUCAACAUCUGCUUAUAUUUCCAAGCCAGUGGAGAAAGUUCUAUUAGAUAAAGUUGAAGUUAUAACAGGAGAAGAAGCAGAACACAAUGUAUUACAGAUUAACUGCAAGCUCUUCGUAUUUAAUAAGCUUUCUUUAACCUGGAUUGAAAGAGGCAGAGGAUCUCUCAGGCUUAAUGACACUUCUAGCAACAAAUGUGGAAUGUUGCAAUCAAGGCUAGUUAUGCGAAAUCAAGGCAGCUUGAGACUGAUUCUCAACACCAGACUCUGGGAUCAAAUGGUAAUAAAAAGAGCAAACAGAAAAAGCGUAUGCUUCACUGCAACAGACCAAGAGGACCACUCCAUUCAAGUAUUUCUAGUUCAGGCAAGCUCAAAAGAUGCUGGAUAUCUGUAUGCGGCAAUACAUCACCGCCUUGUGGCAUUGAGAAGCUUUGCUGAGCAAGAACCAGAAGCUAACCAAAUAGACAUAGAGUCAGAAAUAGCUUUUCAGCCAUUAACCUGUGACAGUGAUGAAGAUGAUGAAAAAAUAACACAAGUGAGCAGCAGUGGAUCUGAUCUUCAGCAAACAGAAUGGGGAAUGCCACUUAACCAUGCAUACAGAAUAGCCUAGUGAAGGAGACUGGUCUCCUUGUAGGCAACAAGGUAAACCUGAGCCCUGUGGAUACGGAUGACUUAGCACCCAGUAGGUGUUCUGCAAUGAAUCACUCUAGAUGGAAACGCAGGCAGCCUGUAGUCUGCUGAUGAGAGCUACCACACAGCAACAACAGCACCACUGGGAACUCAUCUUCCCUAAAUGCCUAAGAUGUCUCAUCAGAACUUGGAGGAAUGAAAUCAGAUGAAUUUUGCUUUGUAAUUUUUAAGCACAGAUUAAUUUUAGAGACAGCUUAAAUUCAAUACAUUGGGAAAGAACUUGAAAAGCACUUUAGAGGAUUCCAGUCAGCCUGAUUUGCACUGAGAUAAGAAUGACAUGAUGGCAUCUAGUAUUCAAGUGUUGUUAAAAAGGCUUCAGGUUUUAUAAUUAAAUAUACUUAGAUGCAUUAUUAAAAUAAGGACUUUUAUAGGGAAUCAAUUUUUAUUCAUCAUAUUGAUGGAUAAAAACAUAUAACCAUUAAAUAAUAAAAUAUCUGAAAAUUUGUUUUUGUCUUUUAUUUAAAAGAUACAUUUUGAAGACUUUAAAUUAGGCAUCACUGUAAACAUUUAUUUAAAAUUGUCUGGUAAUAUUCAGCAUCUUGUUUGUAAGUACAUACAAGCAGAAUUGUGAGUGGCAGUUCACCAUGACAAAGGCAAAUAGAAAUCAAAAUUCAUAACUAAGCAAGUGGAGUUUUGUUUGUACGUUUUAAAUAUGUGGAGUUGUAGACUGGUUUUGCUAAAUUUUGCUGGCAAAAGAACCAGUAUCUGCUUUUAUACCCAUGAGCACCAGGACAACUGAACACGAAGAACAGUAAACAGAAGUUCUUGGGGGCAUCUGAGCUUUAAAAUCUGUAAGUGUAUCUGUUUGCACUUAUGAACACCUUUUUGCUUGCUCAGAACAAGCACUGUUAACAGUCCAUUUGAUAUACAGAAAUAUAUGCCUGGACAGUAUAACUAAAGAUCUGCAUAAAAUCUUGUAUAUGCUUAUCUAAGAUUAUUUAUGCUUUAUUAUUAGCUGCAGAUAUCCCGAAACAGCAUCUUGUAUUGAGUUGAAUGUAUUACACAGUCAAAUAUGUGCAAUAAUCCAAACAGUGCCAAAGACCCAAUCACUUUGUAAAAGUGAUUCCAUGAACUGCUGCUCACUACCCAACCAUUCUCAAGAAGAAUUAGAAAAAUCAAUUCUCUGUAAAGCCACCUGUGAAUUAAGACUUUCCAGAUCCUGGAAACUCCUGCAACUCUGCUGACUUGUAUCUUGUUGGUUACCAAAUAUUAUUUCCUGGUCAUUCUCAGAGCUGAAAAAAAAGUUCUGAAAUAUCUGAAGUCCUUUUAAUUAAGAAAGCUCUAAUGAUUUCUCAGCCUUAAAAGCUGCAUCAUACCUGAAGACUCAAGUUUUAAUUUAGUCUUGCCAUCUGAACAUACAUGUAUAAAGUUGGAAGAAUUCCAGCUUCCUGAAUUCUCAUUGCCCUGUCAAGAUUAGCAUCCAGAUGAAGAUGAAUUAGCAUCUGGAUUACCCUGAAUCUUAAAUAGCUGGCCAAAGUUAGCACUGGUCUGACAUCUGGAUGACAGAAAGCUUGAGUUGGACUGGACUUUUGCCUUCAGGAAAAGGAAAGUCCUUCACGACAGAACAUUUCUCUCAAAUAGUGAAGCAUUGGAGCUCUUCAACUCUUCAGUGUGCUGGUAAAAAAAAUGUUCUUUCCACAACUAGCUGUACAUUGUGUCCCUUUCUAUCAGCCUCACUCCUGACCACAACAAUAUUUCCAUCACUGACCUUCAUAUUUCAUUGCUGCAACUCAUACUCAGGAGCUAAGCUCCAUGUUAUAAAAACCAGCAGUUGUAAAAAACAGCAGUUCCACGUAUUUAGCAACAGGUCACAGUGAGAACUUUGUCCUGGAGUUCAGCUGGUUAUGCACUGAAAGUAGAGAUUGGUUUCAAAAUCUGCCCCGCUAAUCAAAGUGUUCCAUGAAAUUGAGUGUAAGCACCGGAGUGCCAUGAUAUCCCACAACAUCUAAAUUCUACGACUGCUAUAAAAUUAUUGGGAAAUAAGGAGCAUUCCAGAGCAGGUGCAACAGAAUUUUUCCAGACAAAGGGCUUAAAAACAUUAUAAUUUUUGCUCUCACAGCAUAAGGAACAAAGCUUAUGAUCAGUCACAAAUAAACUCUCUUCUGAGAUGCCUUUUCUCAAGAUCUUAUUAUACAUACACAAGUAUGCACACACACACACAUGAUCACACACGCAGAUUUAAAAAUGAAGCUAUAUCUCCUACAAGCUGAGGAGGAGAAGAUAUAUUUAAAUAUUGUGAGAAGUUUGGAUACUGUGGUAAUAGGAGACAAAUAAAUAUAUGUGCAGAUAUAUUUAUGGUAUGAAUUUUUACACUUUAUAUCCUAAUGUCUUAUUUAUUCUGUUUUGUCUCAUUGCACUAAGUUUCAUUGUUUCUCAAGACUGAAAGUAUGCUAAUAUGUAAUAUAUCAACUUGGGUUUGGAAAUACAAAGUUUGUCACUUUAUGACUGCUGGAGUAACAAUUUCUAUGCCUAAAUAAUAAACAACUUUCUCACA